rnacentral:rRNA from 1 species
UACGUAGGGGGCGAGCGUUGUCCGGAUUUAUUGGGCGUAAAGAGCUCGUAGGCGGCUUGUCGCGUCGAAUGUGAAAUCUCAGGGCUCAACUCUGACAUUGCAUUCGAUACGGGCAGGCUCGAGUUCGGUAGGGGAGACUGGAAUUCCUGGUGUAGCGGUGAAAUGCGCAGAUAUCAGGAGGAACACCGGUGGCGAAGGCGGGUCUCUGGGCCGAUACUGACGCUGAGGAGCGAAAGCGUGGGGAGCGAACAGG